UCACUUGAGGGUCAGCCCCGAGCCCAGCUGGGCUUGCUGGAGCCGUUAGGUUUAGCGGAGCAGGGCUGUUUUCGAGGAGGCACGUCCCGGCCCCAUCACUGGGCUGCACCGCAUCCCGGGAGGCGACAGUUUCCCGGGAGGGACAAAGCUGCCCUUGUAUAGAGGAAGCGGCCACAAAGGACGUUUUCCUCUGGGGGUGAACUGCUGCCCUGCAAGGCUGGAAGCUUUCUUUCCACUGCUCAGAGCACCGCAUUUCGCGUCCGCCUGGCCACGGGCAAUCGGGACCACGGGGGCUGGGCCAGAGGCCCUCCCUGGAAACCCCAGACGACGGAGCCCAACGCAGGUGACGCCGAGGGAGCACCAGUGUGCCGAGGGGCGCCCUCUGCCAUCCUCUUAAUUUACACGCUGGAGAAACAAGACUCACGGAGACCACAGGCCAGCUGGGACGCUCUUCUCAACCCACCUCAGGCGCUCCGGCUCCUGGAAGCUCCCAGGCCACACCACUAACACGCGUUGCCCCUGUGUUAGCUCCUUCACUAGACUGUGGCAUCCUCUGCUCAGGGACUGCAUGUGCGUGAUCGCCUUGUCGAGUGCUCUCUUAGUGGCAAAAGGGAGAGAUAGAGGAAGGAAGGAAGAAACAAAAUUGUCCAGAGAUUUAUUUACAAAAAGACAAGCCAAGUGGUGAUCGUUUUGUAAUGUAUAAAAUUACCUAAUCACUACCUUGUACACCUGAGACUAAUAUAAUACUGUAAUAUCAUACUUUCAAUAUUAAAAAAAAAAAAAGACAAGCCAGUUAAAAUAUGGGCAAAGGACUUGGACAGACAUUUCUCCAACCAAGAUGUACAAAUGGCCAACAAAGACAUAAAAAAUGCUCAACAGCAUUAGUCAGCAGGGAAAUGCAAAUCAAAAUCACUUCACACACGACAGAAUGGCCCGAGUUGAAAAGACAGAUAAUAAUAAGUACAGGAGAGGAUGUGGAGAGUCAGAGGAUCUGCAGGAAAAGACAGUCCACUUCCCGCCAGGCCCCACGGGAGUGGAGUGACUGGUGAGGGAAGAUGACCAGUUGGCUAAAUGCCACCACAGACCAAUGGGUACCAACCUGGCACCGCCCUCCCACCCCAUGCUGGGUGACCCCAUGUGCUGUGACCCAGGAGAGGGAAAGGGAACUCUGCCCUUAAGAAAGGCACCUGAUGAAGAUGAGCCUUUCCCCCAUUAAAAAAAAAACGGAAGUAUAGUUGAUUGACAGUGUUUCAGGUGUGCAGCAGACUGAU